rnacentral:rRNA from 1 species
GGGGAAUUUUCCGCAAUGGGCGAAAGCCUGACGGAGCAAUACCGCGUGAGGGAGGAAGGCUCUUGGGUUGUAAACCUCUUUUCUCAGGGAAGAAUGAUGACGGUACCUGAGGAAUAAGCAUCGGCUAACUCCGUGCCAGCAGCCGCGGUAAUACGGAGGAUGCAAGCGUUAUCCGGAAUGAUUGGGCGUAAAGCGUCCGCAGGUGGCAAUGUAAGUCUGCUGUCAAAGCGUCUGGCUCAACCAGAUAAAGGCAGUGGAAACUACAUAGCUAGAGUAAGGUAGGGGUAGAGGGAAUUCCUGGUGUAGCGGUGAAAUGCGUAGAGAUCAGGAAGAACACCGGUGGCGAAAGCGCUCUGCUGACCUUAACUGACACUGAGGGACGAAAGCUAGGGGAGCGAAUGGGAUUAGAUACCCCAGUAGUCCUAGCCGUAAACGAUGGAUACUAGGCGUUGCCCGUAUCGACCCGGGCAGUGUCGUAGCUAACGCGUUAAGUAUCCCGCCUGGGGAGUACGCAGGCAACUGUGAAACUCAAAGGAAUUGACGGGGGCCCGCACAAGCGGUGGAGUAUGUGGUUUAAUUCGAUGCAACGCGAAGAACCUUACCAGGGCUUGACAUGUCCGGAAUCCUCUUGAAAGGGAGGAGUGCCUUCGGGAACCGGAACACAGGUGGUGCAUGGCUGUCGUCAGCUCGUGUCGUGAGAUGUUGGGUUAAGUCCCGCAACGAGCGCAACCCUCGUUCUUAGUUGCCAUCAUUAAGUUGGGAACUCUAAGGAGACUGCCGGUGACAAACCGGAGGAAGGUGGGGAUGACGUCAAGUCAGCAUGCCCCUUACGCCCUGGGCUACACACGUACUACAAUGCUAUGGACAAAGGGCAGCAAGCCAGCGAUGGCAAGCAAAUCUCGUAAACCAUGGCUCAGUUCAGAUCGCAGGCUGCAACUCGCCUGCGUGAAGUCGGAAUCGCUAGUAAUUGCAGGUCAGCAUACUGCAGUGAAUUCGUUCCCGGGCCUUGUACACACCGCCCGUCACACCAUGGAAGCUGGUCACGCCCGAAGUCGUUACCCUAACCUUUCGAGGAGGGGGACGCCGAAGGUAGGACUGGUGACUGGGGUGAAGUCGUAACAAGGUAGCCGUACCGGAAGGUGUGGCUGGAUCACCUCCU